AAAGGAGCAUGAGAAAAGAAAAGGGGUGAGAAGAAGUCCACUAGAUAGUUGAAUGCUAGUUGAAACUAGAUGCCGAAAGGUCUAGGAACGAUAAAAGGAGAUAGGAAAACUUCUCCGAUAGUAGUAGAAGCGGGGUAUCUGGCAAGAACCAAGCAGAAGUGAAAAAGAAGUAGAGGUGGGGGGGUUGGCAUUUUUAUACUGCUAUCACUGGUCUAAAUAAGCCUGAGAGAUCAAUGCACUCGUCUG
rnacentral:lncRNA from 1 species